rnacentral:lncRNA from 1 species
CACAACAUAAUAUAAAAAAAAAUAUUUUGAGAAAUUUAAAUCUUUAUUCAUAAAAUUUGGGGUCUCACAAUCUCCCCUGCUUAUGAAAUUUCGCCCUCGAAAUUUACGUACAUACCUGGUAUGCCGAAGAGAUAAGGAUACCUUGACUUCAUUUCAGAUUCUAACUCUUGAGGUAUAACCUUUGAGUGUUGAAUAUGAUCCCUCUUAUCCAAGAUUUUAACAAGUAUCUCCUCAUACGUUAAAUCUUCUGCUAUCUCGUCUAGUUCUAAUUUAAUAACGUGGUUCGGGUUGUCCAUAUAUUUACGUAACAUCGAUAUGAAUUUUUUUUUUAUGAACACGCGACAUACUUGGCGGUAAAACGAGUCUAUAAGCCACAGUUCGUACUCGACCGAGGAUUUCAAAUGGGCCAAUUAAAUCGAGGGUUGAGAUUUCCUCUCUUCAUCGACUCUUGCUUCUAGAAUUACGCCUUCUUGAACCUUCU